rnacentral:lncRNA from 1 species
AAUGGAGGAGGGACAAAAAAUGGAGGAAGUACAAAAAAAUGGAGGAGGGACAAAUGGGACAGUAUAACGAAAUUAGUAAUGACUAUUCCAGUACCAAUGACAAAUAUAAACAUGUUCAAAACACAAAAGAAACAUUUACACGAAAUAUAAAAAAUGAUAUAUUAUUUUUAAAAGUUUGUUUACAAAAUAAAAUAUUCAUAAAUAAUGCAUUAAUCUUUUUUUACUUCAAACAAAAUAUAAUUUAUUAUAAAAAAGAACAUUUUUUGUUACUAUUUCAAUGCUUUUGUUUUUUAUGUGAUCAUACAAACAAUGACUUAUUUUACAAACUUUUACAAUACCCUCCAUUUUAUUUUCAAAAUGAUCAAAUAAUAAAAAAUAUAUCACAUAUAAGAAAAAAUUUAUUACAAAAAAUUAAUUGUUAUAGUUAUAAUUAUAAUUAUAAUUAUAAGUCGCAUCCUGUCAAUAAAUUAACAUUUGUCGAAUUAGAAAAUAUUAUAUUAUCUUUAAGUAACAUAAACAGUCAAGUAUUUUUAAAAGGUCUUAAAUUUUGUUUAACUUAUGAUUAUUAUAAGGGUGGGAAAAUACUAAAGAGAAAAGAACUUUUCGAAAAAACGUUAAUACAUCAUCAAACGAUUGAGGAGAACAAAUUAGAUUAUAAAAAAAUAAAUUAUAACGUAAAAAAUAAGGAUAAUAACAAAAAUAAUGAUCAUAUAAUACAAGCCAAUAUAUAUAUCAACAGUUUUUUAUUUUUUAAAAAUAUAUUAACACAAUUAACAUAUUACAUAUGUUUUGAUUUUUUUAAAAAAAUUGAUUUAUUGGAAUUAGUUAAAAAUGUGAGUGUACCAAAAAGUAAAAUAGAAUUUCAUGAAAAUGAUAUUUUAUUUGAUUGCUUAGUGAAACAUGAUGUUUUUUUUUAUGAAAAAAAAAGGGACUUAACUGUAUGGAUAAUACAGGGGAAGAAAUAGGCGUAGAGGUAGGGGAAGACAAACCAGUACAUAGAACAAUAAACUAUGAUAACACACGUAAUAAAAACA